AGAUCAUUAUAGGGGUGCCUUAAAAUAUCGGGCUGAGAUCAUACCCACAAUACCUGAUCCGGGUAGUGCCGGCGAAGGGAAAUGAGUAACCGAAGAUA
rnacentral:ncRNA from 2 species